rnacentral:rRNA from 1 species
GUGGGGAAUAUUGGACAAUGGGCGGAAGCCUGAUCCAGCCAUGCCGCGUGUGUAAAGAAGGCCUUUUGGUUGUAAAGCACUUUAAGCGAGGAGGAGGCUCUUAAGGUUAAUACCCUUGAUGAGUGGACGUUACUCGCAGAAUAAGCACCGGCUAACUCUGUGCCAGCAGCCGCGGUAAUACAGAGGGUGCGAGCGUUAAUCGGAUUUACUGGGCGUAAAGCGUGCGUAGGCGGCUGAUUAAGUCGGAUGUGAAAUCCCUGAGCUUAACUUAGGAAUUGCAUUCGAUACUGGUCAGCUAGAGUAUGGGAGAGGAUGGUAGAAUUCCAGGUGUAGCGGUGAAAUGCGUAGAGAUCUGGAGGAAUACCGAUGGCGAAGGCAGCCAUCUGGCCUAAUACUGACGCUGAGGUACGAAAGCAUGGGGAGCAAACAGGAUUAGAUACCCCAGUAGUCC